rnacentral:rRNA from 1 species
UACGGGGGGGAGCAAGCGUUGUUCGGAUUUACUGGGCGUAAAGGGCGCGUAGGCGGCCACCGCAAGUCGGUUGUGAAAUCUCCGGGCUUAACCCGGAAAGGUCAAUCGAUACUGCGGGGCUAGAGUGCAGAAGGGGCAACUGGAAUUCUCGGUGUAGCGGUGAAAUGCGUAGAUAUCGAGAGGAACACCAGUGGCGAAGGCGGCUAUCUGGGCUGGAACUGACGCUGAGGCGCGAAGGCUAGGGGAGCAAACAGG